UACAGUAAUAGAUUUAAAAACAUUUUAAUAAAUUGUACUUGAUAGGUGUAACUAUUUUAAUCUGAUGGGGGCAUAGCCGAAAACCUGUUAUAUGUUAUUAUAGUACUUCUUGGAAAUUAAAAAACGUUUUCGUUUAACAUAUUGUAAAAUCUUAGUAUAAAUACUAGUUUCACUUCAGAUUUCAGUAUCAUUCAACAAGAUGAAAUUGUACGCUUUCUUUGGACUUGCUUUGGCCUUAUUAGCUGUAGCUUUGGGAAACCCUAAUCCUGAACCUCAACCCAAUCCUCUACCAUUAGGAGGUGGUGGUGGCGGAGGCGGCGGCGGUGGUGGCAAGUAAAGUCUCAGCAUAUCCUGCCAUGAUAUGAUAGUUAUGAUUGCUCGAUUAAAAAAAUAAAAAAAAAUAUAUAUAAAAAACUAUUAAUUUUUUUUACUCUGGAAAAAUACGUAAAAAAU